GGAAGUCAGUGUGUCACCGUGCUUGGAGCUUUGCUGCCCAGUCUCUGGACUCGUUCACCAUCAGUCUCUUCCCACAAGAGAAUGUACAAAAUGAGGCCGAGGUUUCUCUGCAACAGUUUGCCUGCAGGUUUGAUGUUGGGUUUCUUUGUUUUCCUGCUUCGACCAGUUUCCACACAGAAAAACAGAAAUCGAAUGUAUUUCUUGGAUAAUGGAGACGGCAUUGUGUUAAACGGACCG